rnacentral:rRNA from 1 species
GACGAACGCUGGCGGCGUGCUUAACACAUGCAAGUCGAACGGAAAGGCCCUGCUUUUGUGGGGUGCUCGAGUGGCGAACGGGUGAGUAACACGUGAGUAACCUGCCCUUGACUUUGGGAUAACUUCAGGAAACUGGGGCUAAUACCGGAUAGGAGCUCCUGCUGCAUGGUGGGGGUUGGAAAGUUUCGGCGGUUGGGGAUGGACUCGCGGCUUAUCAGCUUGUUGGUGGGGUAGUGGCUUACCAAGGCUUUGACGGGUAGCCGGCCUGAGAGGGUGGCCGGCCUCAUUGGGACUGAGAUACGGCGCAGACUGCUACGGGAGGCAACAGUGGGGAAUCUUGCACAAUGGGCGGAAGCCUGAUGCAGAGACGCCGCGUGCGGGAUGACGGCCUUCGGGUUGUGAACCGCUUUAGCCUGUGACGAAGCGUGAGUGACGGUAAUGGGUAAAGAAGCACCGGCUAACUACGUG